AGGGAAUCUUCGGCAAUGGACGGAAGUCUGACCGAGCAACGCCGCGUGAGUGAAGAAGGUUUUCGGAUCGUAAAGCUCUGUUGUAAGAGAAGAACGAGUGUGAGAGUGGAAAGUUCACACUGUGACGGUAUCUUACCAGAAAGGGACGGCUAACUACGUGCCAGCAGCCGCGGUAAUACGUAGGUCCCGAGCGUUGUCCGGAUUUAUUGGGCGUAAAGCGAGCGCAGGCGGUUAGAUAAGUCUGAAGUUAAAGGCUGUGGCUUAACCAUAGUACGCUUUGGAAACUGUUUAACUUGAGUGCAAGAGGGGAGAGUGGAAUUCCAUGUGUAGCGGUGAAAUGCGUAGAUAUAUGGAGGAACACCGGUGGCGAAAGCGGCUCUCUGGCUUGUAACUGACGCUGAGGCUCGAAAGCGUGGGGAGCAAACAGGAUUAGAUACCCUGGUAGUCCACGCCGUAAACGAUGAGUGCUAGGUGUUAGACCCUUUCCGGGGUUUAGUGCCGUAGUUAACGCAUUAAGCACUCCGCCUGGGGAGUACGACCGCAAGGUUG
rnacentral:rRNA from 1 species